CUCACCUGAACUACUAUAAACAGUAGCACCGCAGUCAGACUAUGGACAGGAGAGAGCUGAGAAGGGCCCAGACCCCUGGCCCAAUCCAUGGAUCAGCUGGGGACUGCUUCGAGACCAGAUCCUUGAAUGUGUCCUGUGUCACCAAAAGUCAGCCUGAGGAAAUACCAUGGAGGAAGAAACAGCAUGGACUUCCUCAACCUCAGGAAAGAAGUCUCAGCUGGAGGUAGCAAUCUGGGAAUCGUGGUCAUGUA